rnacentral:rRNA from 1 species
CCUACGGGUGGCAGCAGUGAGGAAUAUUGGUCAAUGGACGAGAGUCUGAACCAGCCAAGUAGCGUGAAGGAUGACUGCCCUAUGGGUUGUAAACUUCUUUUAUAUGGGAAUAAAACGUUCCACGUGUGGGAUUUUGUAUGUACCAUAUGAAUAAGGAUCGGCUAACUCCGUUCCAGCAGCCGCGGUAAUACGGAGGAUCCGAGCGUUAUCCGGAUUUAUUGGGUUUAAAGGGAGCGUAGGUGGAUUGUUAAGUCAGUUGUGAAAGUUUGCGGCUCAACCGUAAAAUUGCAGUUGAAACUGGCAGUCUUGAGUACAGUAGAGGUGGACGGAAUUCGUGGUGUAGCGGUGAAAUGCUUAGAUAUCACGAAGAACUCCGAUUGCGAAGGCAGUUCACUGGACUGCAACUGACACUGAGGCUCGAAAGUGUGGGUAUCAAACAGGAUUAGAUACCCGAGUAGUC